AGCUCCAUAGUGUAGUGGUCAAGCAUAUGAGGUUCUGGUCCUCAUGACCCAGGUUCGAAUCCUGGUGGAGCUA
rnacentral:tRNA from 1 species